UACUUGGAGAACUAAUUCAUUUUGUUACAUAGGAAAACAAGCAUCUGACAGCUGCCACAAUUCCUUACUAUCUGGCUCAGGACUCAUAAAUACGUAAUGAAUCCAAAACAUUACAUAAGAGUGAAUGGAUUCUUUUUCUGUGUUACUCUACCAGAGUUGAGUCUCUUGUCAUCAGUGUUAUUAGUAGAUGGGGCUUUCCCCUUUCCCUCCCCAUCCUUCCCAUUUUCCUUCUUCCUUUUUUUAAAAUGUCUCUCUUUUUUUGCUUGUAUGCUGAAGCUUUUUUGUGUCUCACAUAGAAAACCUUUCAUGGAGGAAUUAAUUGUAAAAGGGAAACAUUAGCAGCUCCAUUUAAUUGGACACUAUGGGCCUCACACUUCAAGCACACAUAUUUAUUUAAUCAUUAAAAAAACCAGUAUAUUUUUGUUGCUGAGUUGAGGAGCUCAUGUGUCUUAGAGGUCCACUAACCAUUCCCAAAGUUUGCUUCUUCAAAAGAGGAAGCAGAGAGACUCAGUAUUCCUGCUACAUCUGUCAUUCAUCGAGGCUAAAAUGUAGAACCUGUUUUCAAUUUUAUGUCAAAUCAAUACAGGAGACUUCGUUUCCACAGUCAAAUCACUUAUAAAACUUAGGUGGAACAUUGAUUCUGUAAAACAAAUUCCAAUUGUAGAGGUCCUUCCCUGUUGGAAUUAUUAUUUUUUUAUUUUAAAAAACUCAUAACGAUACAAAUGAAAUAUGUAAAAAUCUUUUAUAGGAAAUACUUUUAAUUUAGACAUGGCAAUAAAUAAAGUUUGAAGGGUUGAAGUGUUUAUUGAACCUUGAAGCACCAUGCUCCAAUUUCCAGAUUUCCAGAUACUCACUGGAGUUCUAAGUUGCCAUGGACUCAUGUCUUUCACCAAGACCUUCCUCUUUGAAGAAGAUGGACAUAUUUCAUCCUUGUGCAAGUCAUUCAUACUGAGAAUUUACAAGCCACGUGCACUUCAAAUACCACUUUUAAAUGGGCAUUUUUUUGUACUAUUGCUGUAGAUACAGUGGAUACAUCAAACACAACAGUAAUUCACUGAGGGGACUGUGCACAUUUUUUUUUCAGAGUGUGAUUUUCUAUGGGAAUAGUAAGGCAAAGGAUAAUUCCCACACUGGUGAUCCUAGUUGUUCCAAAGGCUGUUAGGUCAGUGAAACAAUUGAUAUUGACCAUCACUGUUAUUUCUGUUGUUUUAGCUUUCAUUUUGUAAAAGGUUUGGCAUAGUCUCUUUAGGUGUCUGCAAAAUCACUAUCAGGGAUGGAAAAAUAAGGCAGGGGAAAGUUCAAUGAGCACUUGAAAUGUAACAUUAUAUCAAGGGCCAGAGUGCAUACCUUGCUCUCCCAGAGGUUUUGCUGCCUGGGCUGGGAGUAUACUUGGAGCAGCUCAAAUCACACCUGCCUCAUUUACUAUAGCCUUGCCGUGAUCUGUGUGGCACUCUGGUGAUCAUCUCUUCAGACCCUACCUUGCUGACUCAUCUUUCUGGCUUGACCUCAGAUCUGUACUGAUAUUAUACUCUCAUCUGGCAGUCAUUGAUACAUUGGCUGGCCAUGGUUGCUCUCUUUUUUGUUCAAGUGCCAUGGGACUGCGUCCUUGUCAGAGAGAGCUUUGCUCUGCCCACCCUGCUGUGGCUCUUGGCAUCCAGCUCCACUGUCCUGUCCAAGCAGCCUGCCUUUGUUGUGCCCUGACAUAUGCCUUAAACAGGGGACAAAUUAGCUCUUUAUUGUUCAUCUUCAUCAUAUCAGAAAUAGGUAAUGAAAUCCUUCAAUGGAAAGGCAUAUCAGUAAAAUAACCAAACCUUGUGUAUUGUAGAAUUGGAUGUCUAGAAUUCUUUGGUUCUGCUAUUGGUACUGAAUGGAUUAGUCAAGAAAUACUAUUCAAAGACUUCAAUUAUGCUGUUAUUAAGCAUGCAUCAUUAUAAAUUAGAGGGUCUGGAGGAGUUCAGGAUUAUAGAAGGUAUUCUCUAUAUGAAUAUCUCAUAUUUGGCAUGAUAAAUAUAUGUAUUUUAAAGAAUAUUUAAAAAUGAACAUGAUACAAAUUUACCUUGGAAAUGAAUAGUAAAAUAAUGUUCUGAACAAGGUGCAGAUAGAUUCAUCAUUUGAAAUGCCUCAUAAAUUUUAGUGUUUUUAAAAUAAGCAACCUAACUUUUGAAAUAUAUAUUGUGCUGUAUAGGGUACACUACUACUAUAUGAACUUCUCUUCAGAAAAUAUUUUUUCCUCGAGCUCUGUGCCUACACUCAUAUCUCUUAGCUCCUAGGUCACUUUUCUCACAGUUGUUGAUUUGUUGCACCUUCCAGAUUAUAAGGAAAAAGAAAAAUUCAAGUUUCAAACACAGUAGGCAAUGCAAUUCCAAACUAUCAGUAAAUAUGGUUGUCAUGACUGAAAAGGAUUUUUUUUUUAUCUGAAGUACAUUGUUAUGGUAUAUUUAUAAAAAUUGGAUUAAUAAGAAACUGCUUCUUAUUCUGAAAUAUCCUUAAUUAAAUUAUUUUCAUAAUUAAAUCAAUAUUGGAGAAGAUUCAGUUUUUCUUUAUUAUUAGGGUUCUUUUUUUCAUUCUUUGUUUGGACAGUUAUCCUAUUUUAAUUACGCAGAGCUGGAUGUACUAAAUGGCUUCCUAAUUAAUUUUGGAAUAAAGCUUGACUAGUGUUCAUAUUGCCACAUUUUAAUUUUUAGCAUUCACAUUACAAAGACAUUAUGGGUGUAUACAAAUAUCUGAAGGCUUUUGGAACACAAAGAACACUUAGAAAAUGAAUGCUGCAGGUGUUCUUCACGUGCUUGUGGAUCCCAAGGUGUACCAUUUGCUGGAGCUUCUGGCAUUUAAUUUGUACUAUGCAGCUUUUCCAAGGGCUAUACUACUCUGUAGCUUUUGUAAUAAUAAAAUUAAAACAUCCAGUGUAAGUGAUCAUCUGUUAUGCACCUGUAUCUUAACAUAGGAAAAUGUAAUUAAAAUUUGAGUUUUUAAAACUAAAAAACGAAUAUAUGCUAGCAAUCUCACUUUGCCCUUGAAGUCUACACAUGAAAUUAGAAAUUUCUUGGUAUUUACUGGCACAUUCAAUCUUUUAAACAAAUGUCCAAAACAAAGACCUAUUGAAUCAACACCAGAAAAGUUGGCAGAAGAAAAAGAGGGAAGAAAGACAUAGUUAAAAUAUUCUUUAGAUAGAGAUGUUAUUUAAAAUGGAUACUGGCCUUUAGCUUUUUAGUAGAGUUAUUAUUUGCAUUGCAAUCACUUGGAGAACUGAAGAAGUUAUUUUAGCUUUUUCUAUCAAAGGGUAUGAGCUAUCCUAUUUUGGUUAGAAAAACAGCAGAUGUUUGCUGAUGUAAAAACAUGAUUUUUUCUCCAAAGGUGUUAUCUUAGAACAAGAAAACCUACACACAGAAAAAGAAGAGUUAGGAAACUCUGUGAACCGUCUGUGAAAAGAGGUUGACAUGAUUGAACAGAAGGCAGAGUAACUUGUUAAGACACUUUUUACAUGAGCUGACUGCAAAUAACAAAGUUUUCAGUUUCCCUGUUAAGCUGCCACAAGAAUGGCAGCCAGUAUAUGUAGCUCCUCCUGCAAUGUGUCUCCUCCACCAUCUUCCAUUUCUUGAGUAUAAAAUGUGCAAUUUUUGCAGAAAAAUGUUACCUGGAAUCUCUUCUUAACUGACCUAUUUAACUUACUAUAUUGAAUAUCACAUUAUACUUUCCUCUCUUUAAGCUGAAUUUCUUUACUCUCUUUCUCUGCAUGAACUGCAAUUCCAGCAAAAUAAUAGUAGCUUAGUUUGGGAAGAGCACUGUAAGUGGUUCAUCUUAUCUUUCAGUAUAUUUUCUAAUCUGAUUGAUAUAUACCUGGAAAGGAAAUGUUAACUGAUUAUGAAACUGAUAAGCCCUGUAGAAGAUUGUGACAUGAGCAUGUGCAUGCUUAGAAAUGCUUUGUGAAGAUGUGCUCAGUAAAAGUCUCUUCUGCAGGCCAUCAUUUUCACAAAUCAAUUCCUUUGUGUUAAAUUUCAGUACUUCAAAUGGGUUUAAAAGAAAGAUUUGGAAAAACAUUAGUAGGGCUUGUUGUGGUAAGACAAGGGAUAAUGGUUUUAAACUAGGAGAGAGUAGACUUAGACUAGAUACAAGGAAGAAAUUUAUAACAGAAGUGUUGAAGAAACACUAAAGCAGGUUGCUCAGGUAGGUGGUAGGUGCCUCAUCCCUGUAAACAUUGAAGGCCAGAUUGGAUGGGGCUCUGGGCAACUUCAUCUAGUUUAAGACUAUAGAGAGGUUGGAAUAAAGGACCUUUAAAGGUCCUUUCCAACUCAAGCCAUUCUAUGAUUUUAUUACUUACAUAAAUUAGUAUAGUUUCACUUAAAAUACUUUGUGUAAAUUGUGCAGAUGAGAUAAAAUAAUAAUCAUUGCAGCUGAAGCUCCAAUGACUGUGCCUUCCAAGAAAAAAUGUUUACUUCAUUUUACUAAUUAAAUAAGUUGCUUUGCAUUUUUCUUGACACUGCAUUGUGGUGUAGUAAAGCUCAAAAAUGCUUGUAGCAUGAUUUCCUUUUUACAUUUUUGUCUUCCACAUCUACAGAGAAAUUCUUACUUCUCAAAUAAAGCUGUUCUUUAUUCUUUCAAAGUAAGUGGUUUGAGGUGAGUUAUGCUUGAUAAACAAUGAGUUUGUUACUUGGACAAAAGGAAAAACCAAUUAAGAAACACAUGAUCUGUGCAAAACAGAAGACGUUUCACAAUGGGAGGAGGUAUGUCAGAAUAUAAUGGGAGUGAAAUCCUUAUGAAGAGACAUGCUGGUUGGUGAUCUUUGGAUCACAAAAAUUUGAUCAAUUUGCACUAGUGUUAGGCUGUGUCAUGUCAGCAUAACAAAAGUUCUACUUUAGCCCAACAUACUAAGUGGGAAAUUUAAUACUGAGCUGGGCUUGGUUUUUAGGCAGAUUUCAGUGAAUGUCUUCUUUUAUCCUUUUAAAAGUGAUAAUAAUAAUGCUACUGGAGCCAGCUGCAUUCACUGGAUGAGCAGUAGUUUCGGGUCUUCAUUCUACUAAAUUGGUCAGAUGGGAAGACAGGCUCUGUAUAUCUCCAACCCAUGUGUUUGAUGAAUGAAUUUUUAUACAGAGAUCACAGAAUAUUACUUCAUGAAUAUGAGAAAUAAAUUAAGGGAAAAUACUUUGUUGGUUUAUUAUUUAUAAGGGAUGUUGUGGUAUCACAUAAUUGUUGAGGUUGGCAGGGAGCUCUGGAGGUCAUCUUGUCCAAUCCCCUGCUCAAGUAGGGUUUCCUAGAGCUGGCUGUCUCGGAUUGUGUCCAGGUAGAUUUUAAAUUUCUCAACUCCACAGCCGCUCUGGACAACCUCUGCCAGUGCUCAGUCACCCUCAUAGUGAAAAUAAGUCUUUCCUGAUCUUCAUGCAGUACCUCCUGUGUUUAAGUUUGUGCUCUUUGCUUCUUGUCCUAUCACUGGUUCCACUGAAAAGAGCUUGGCUCUGUGUUCUUUACAUCCUCCCUUCAUGUAUUUGCAUAUAUUAAGAUUCCACUUAAGCAUUCUCUUCUCCAGGCUGAACGGUCCAACUCUUUCAGGCUUACCUUGUGGGAGAGACAAUCCAGUUUCUUUAUUAUACUAGUGACCUUUAAUUUGAGUCUAUUGACUAUUGCUGUAGAUAUUAUGGCAGAUUUCUUUUACAAGAGUUGGCAUAUGUCUGGCUCUAAACAAUAUAUAUGUUAUAGGAGCAGGUAUUACAAGUACAAUAGGACAACUGGUUUUCCUAUUCCCAAUUUCAUACUGUUGUGCUUUUA
rnacentral:lncRNA from 1 species